rnacentral:rRNA from 1 species
UACGGAGGGUGCAAGCGUUGUCCGGAUUUAUUGGGUUUAAAGGGUGCGUAGGCGGCCCGUUAAGUCAGUGGUGAAAUCCCAGGGCUCAACCCUGGAACUGCCAUUGAUACUGACGGGCUUGAGUUCGGUUAAGGCGGGCGGAAUUGACGGUGUAGCGGUGAAAUGCGUAGAGAUGUGGAGGAACACCGAUGGCGAAGGCAGCCUUCUGGGCCAACACUGACGCUCAUGCACGAAAGCGUGGGGAGCAAACAGG